UGCCAGCCGCCGCGGUAAUACGGAGGGGGUUAGCGUUGUUCGGAAUUACUGGGCGUAAAGCGUACGUAGGCGGAUUAAUAAGUUAGAGGUGAAAUCCCAGGGCUCAACCCUGGAACUGCAUUCGAUACUGGAUCGCUAGAGUAUAUUAGAGGAUAGUGGAAUUUCAAGUGUAGCGGUGAAAUGCGUAGAUAUUUGAAGGAACACCAAUGGCGAAGGCAGCUAUCUGGAAUAAUGCUGACGCUGAGGUACGAAAGCGUGGGGAGCAAACAGGAUUAGAUA
rnacentral:rRNA from 1 species